rnacentral:lncRNA from 1 species
UAUUAAAGAAAUGUGAAGACCCAGAAAAUGGAAAUAUCCAGAAGACAAAACAAGGUUCUUAGGCCUGUCCCCUAUAAAAGAAUGAAAAUCAAUAAACACAACAACAUAAAAAUAAAAAUAAACACUUAAAUAAACAUUGGAACUUAAAAAACAUAUGUGAAGCUAUGUUUGAAGUGAAUAAAACAACCACAAGAAAACAAAAAUUAAGAACAAAACAUCCUUAGUGAAGGAAUAAACAUUGAAAGGGGUAACAAAAUCACUGUCUACUAGAAAAUAAUGUAGCCAUAAAAAAAUUCAAAAAAAAAUAAAAAAUAUUGUUAAUGGUUAAUUAAUGCUAAAAAUUAAUGUUAAGACUAUAGAGUAAAAAUUAUAUCUUUAUUAAAUGCCUUGAAGUGUAAACAAAGUAAAAAAUAAAAAAUGAAAACUCACCAACCAAAGUACAGUACCAAACAACUAACAAGUUAACUCACUCACUCAAUCAAUGAAAAAAAUCAAAACUUGAACUUACCCUUAUGCUUAUAUCAAGCUAAUUAACAAAGUAACAUAUGUGAAAGCAAUGAGAGAGUGAAAAUAGAAGAAGGGUGUGAAUAGCAAUGAAAGAAAAAUGGGGUGUUUUUGAAAGGAUUCAAAAUGAAGAUGAUGAUGGUGAUGAAUCUUAUACACGCAUGCAAAAGAAAAGAGUAUAGCUUUUGGUGUUUUCUUUAUCACGUGUAAAAGGCUUUAUUACUUCUGCACCUCACUUUGCUUUUUUGAUUAGGUGUUCACUGUGAUGUUUAUAACUCUUGUUUAUAUUUAUGCAAAAAAACAAAAGAGAGAAAGAAACAAAGAAAAUGAAAAAGAAAAAUAAAAUGUAGUAAAAUAUAUUUAUUUAUUUAUUUAUUUAUUGUGUAU